UAAAUUUACCUUUGUUCUUUCAAUGUUGAUUUUGCUAAGCUAGGAUGGCUUUUUUUUUUUUUAAUUCUUUUUGGCUGUGUGUGUAUACAUGCAUACUCCACAGCAUGCAUGUUAGAGGUAAGAGGACAACUUGAAGGAGUUGGUUCUCCUCUUCCACUGUGUGGGUUCCUGGGAUUGAACUCAGGUAUUGGGUUUGGGUAGCAAGCACCUUUACUGGCUGAACUUUCUUGUCAGCCAGGCUUUCUUUUAUAAUACUUGAACUGGCAUUAAUUGUCAGAUAUCUAUAAAUCUUGGGAUUUGUCUUCUCAGUUCCUAAAGCUUGUGUUCAUGAUAGACCCUGCUUUUGUACAUGCAAGAACAUCGUGAGGGAGAAAGGUUAACAGUAGAGUGUUACCACUGCAGAGUAGACUUGAGGUAGCAGUGUUCUUUAUGUUGAUGCGGGUUACUGACAUGACAUCCCUUGUCCCCCUUACAUGUCUAAAAUGAGACCUCUCUUGCAGCUUUCACAUUCAGACUUGGAGCUUCAUCAGAGGAGAGAGCAGUCUAUUGAGUGCACUCGGAGAGAGGCACAGCUUGCUGCCCUGCAGUACGAGGAGGAGAAAAUAAGGACCAAGCAGAUUCAGAGAGAUGCUGUCCUAGACUUUGUCAAAGUAAAUCCUUUACCAUCAUUGAUGGAUACUCUUGAAGUUAGGAGAAGAAAUGUUUAUUCAUUUUGCCAAGACUUUCUGUUAUUAUUGCAUUAAUUAAAGGGAGUUUGAAUUGAAGUUGGCAUAAGCUAGGAGAAAACCAUGGGAAGAAAGAUCCUACUGAAAACCCAUCUAUGCAUUGUAGAGCAGUCUGGAAAGAAGCAAGAGGGGAAAGUGGAAUAGAUAGAAUCACAGUAAUUAGACUGGUACAAAAGUGGAGGCAGGACCUCUAAGUUUAGUUGGCAGUGAUGCCAAGGAGACUCAGAAGCAUCUGAGUUUGUGUCUACAUGUGUUACUGUGUGCUGUAUUGAGCUGUCUCCCCCCCCCACCCCCCCGUUGUGUAUGAUACUAAACAUAUCAAUCAAUAAUUGUAAUAUUACCAUGGCAGGUGCUAUGCCAUUUGUAAUCUAAGUAUAUGGGGAAAUUUCUAAAUUAAUGGGUACUGAGCAGUGAAUAAAUCAUUGAAGAGAAAUUUAAAAACAAAGUAAAAGAAAUAAAUAGAUGAACCCAAAGCAAGGUUUUAAUGAGAGUCCAGUUUAGGUCUGUGAAAGCAAUGAGGAGCCAAAGUCAGAGGACAGUGUAAAUCUCAGCUACGUUUCUUACCGUUUAAUGUCUCAUAUCCUGGACUCCCAGUUUUCUCUGCUUGUGGUAUUUGUUUCUCUUAUAGAAUGAGAAAAAUCACUUGAGAUCAUGUGUGUAAGAUAACAGUGCGGGCCCUGGAUAUGUAGCUGGGCUAGGGAAGUAGACAGUGCUCCCCUAGCAAGCAUGAGCCCUAGAUUCCACCCUAGCACUGCUUAAACCAAGUGUCCUAGCACUGGGAGAUGGAGGCAGGAGUCAGAAGCUCGAGGUCAUCCAUGCUACCUGAGAUACUGUCUCAAAAAAGAAAAAGAAAAACCAGGCAUGGUGGCACAUGCCUCUAUUCCCAGCACUUGGGAGCCUCCCACCCCCAACAAAAGUAAAGAAAUUUCAAAAUACUAGUUGUGUACAAACGUUUAUUUGUCAGAAUAACAGAAUUAAUAAAUUGGGGGAAAUGGCUUGUAAUUAAGAAAUUAUAACCAGGUGGUAGUGCAUGUCUUUAAUCCUAGCACUCAGAAGACAGGGGCAGACAAAUCUUUUGAGUUUGAGGCCAACAUGGUUCUAGGACCAUCAGGGCUACAGAGAGAAACCCUGUCUUGAAAAACC
rnacentral:lncRNA from 1 species